AGCUCCAAUAGCGUAUAUUAAAGCUGUUGUGUUUUUAAAAAGCUCGUAGUUGGAUUUCUGCUAAGGACGACCGGUCCGCCCUCUGGGUGAGUAUCUGGCUUGGCCUUGGCAUUGUCUUGGAGAACGUAACUGCACUUGACUGUGUGGUACGGUAUCCAGGACUUUUACUUUGAGGAAAUUAGAGUGUUUCAAGCAGGCGCAUGCCUUGAAUACAUUAGCAUGGGAUAAUCAGAUAGGAUCUUGGUUCUAUUUUGUUGGUUUCUGGAGCUGAGGUAAUGAUCAAUAGGGAUAGUUGGGGGCAUUCGUAUUCGACUGUCAGAGGUGAAAUUCUUGGAUUCGUUAAAGGCGGAUUACUGCGAAAGCAUUUGCCAAGGAUGUUUUCA
rnacentral:rRNA from 1 species